rnacentral:snoRNA from 1 species
GGGUGAUAUGAUGGCAUACCAUCUUUCGGGACUGACUCUUGGAAAUGGAGAGUUCCUUUUAUUUUACUGAUCACUU